GAGAUCCCCAGCAGACGAGCCAAAGCAGUGUGAUUACUGUCACUUCUACACAAGAUGAAGUUUAUCAUGAUUAUCGCUGUUCUUUUUCACAUGUGCCUGGCAGACCGUAAAUCAGAUCUUUUUACGGAAUUAAAAGCCAACCUCGAGAAUCUGAAAAAUUCCACUAAAGGAUUUGCACGUCAAUAUAUUUCAUGUCCGCCGCGUAAUAUGGCGUGUAAAUGUGAGAUGGCCUUUGUAAAAGAUUUAAACUUCACCCUGGGCAACUUGACGUUCAGUAAAAAGAACACCAAAGUCAACAACAUCAUCAACAAUAUCGGGAUAAUCCUUCGGAGUGAAGAGUUGUCUAAGCAACACAACGACACGAUAAACUGUACGGGCGGGAAGAACACCCGAAAUGUCUUUACACCCUUCAUAACGUACAUUAUGGAGUGGAACACAUGCAACC
rnacentral:lncRNA from 1 species